rnacentral:rRNA from 1 species
GAUGAACGCUAGCUACAGGCUUAACACAUGCAAGUCGAGGGACCGGCGCACGGGAGAGUAACACGUAUCCAACCUUCCCUUUACUCGGGGAUAGCCUUUCGAAAGAAAGAUUAAUACCCGAUAUAAAGGAUGGGGAUGCGUUCGAUUAGGUUGUUGGGGAGGUAACGGCUAACCAAGCCUUCGAUGGGUAGGGGUUCUGAGAGGAAGGUCCCCCACAUUGGAACUGCGACACGGUCCAAAAUCCUACGGGAGGCAGCAGUGAGGAAUAUUGGGCAAUGGGCGCUAGCCGUAACCAGCCAAGUAGCGUGAAGAAGGAAGGCUUAUGAAUCGUAAACUUCUUUUAUAUAAGAAUAUGUAUUAUAUGAAUAAGGAUCGGCUAACUCCGUGCCAGCAGCCGCGGUAAUUC